rnacentral:rRNA from 1 species
AUUGAACGCUGGCGGCAGGCCUAACACAUGCAAGUCGAGCGCGAAAACACUUCGGUGUGAGUAGAGCGGCGGACGGGUGAGUAAUGCUUGGGAAUCUGCCCAGUAGUGGGGGAUAACGUGUGGAAACGCACGCUAAUACCGCAUACGUCCUACGGGAGAAAGCAGGGGAUCUUCGGACCUUGCGCUAUUGGAUGAGCCCAAGUCAGAUUAGCUAGUUGGUGGGGUAAUGGCUCACCAAGGCGACGAUCUGUAGCUGGUCUGAGAGGAUGAUCCGCCACACUGGGACUGAGACACGGCCCAGACUCCUACGGGAGGCAGCAGUGGGGAAUAUUGCACAAUGGGCGAAAGCCUGAUGCAGCCAUGCCGCGUGUGUGAAGAAGGCUCUAGGGUUGUAAAGCACUUUCAGUGGGGAGGAAAAGUUUAAGAUUAAUACUCUUGAACCUUGACGUUACCUGCAGAAGAAGCACCGGCAAACUCCGUGCCAGCAGCCGCGGUAAUACGGAGGGUGCGAGCGUUAAUCGGAAUUACUGGGCGUUAAGCGCGCGUAGGUGGUUUGAUAAGCUAGCUGUGAAAGCCCCGGGCUCAACCUGGGAACUGCAGUUAGAACUGUCUGACUAGAGUAUAGUAGAGGGUGGCGGAAUUUCCUGUGUAGCGGUGAAAUGCGUAGAUAUAGGAAGGAACAUCAGUGGCGAAGGCGGCCACCUGGACUAAUACUGACACUGAGGUGCGAAAGCGUGGGGAGCAAACAGGAUUAGAUACCCUGGUAGUCCACGCCGUAAACGAUGUCUACUAGCCGUUGGGAGACUUGAUCUCUUAGUGGCGCAGUUAACGCGAUAAGUAGACCGCCUGGGGAGUACGGCCGCAAGGUUAAAACUCAAAUGAAUUGACGGGGGCCCGCACAAGCGGUGGAGCAUGUGGUUUAAUUCGACGCAACGCGAAGAACCUUACCAGGUCUUGACAUCCUGCGAACUUUCUAGAGAUAGAUUGGUGCCUUCGGGAACGCAGUGACAGGUGCUGCAUGGCUGUCGUCAGCUCGUGUCGUGAGAUGUUGGGUUAAGUCCCGUAACGAGCGCAACCCUUGUCCUUAGUUGCCAGCACAUUAUGGUGGGAACUCUAAGGAGACUGCCGGUGACAAACCGGAGGAAGGUGGGGACGACGUCAAGUCAUCAUGGCCCUUACGACCUGGGCUACACACGUGCUACAAUGGCCAGUACAGAGGGCUGCUAACCCGCGAGGGGGCGCUAAUCUCACAAAGCUGGUCGUAGUCCGGAUCGCAGUCUGCAACUCGACUGCGUGAAGUUGGAAUCGCUAGUAAUCGUGAAUCAGAAUGUCACGGUGAAUACGUUCCCGGGCCUUGUACACACCGCCCGUCACACCAUGGGAGUGGGUUGCAAAAGAAGUAGCUAGGCUAACCUUCGGGGGGCCGGUUACCACUUUGUGAUUCAUGACUGGGGUGAAGUCGUAACAAGGUAGCCCUAGGGGAACCUGGGGCUGGAUCACCUCCUUAAACGAAAAUCCUUACGAUUAGUAAGUGCUCACACGCAUUGCUUGAUUAUUCAUGACUAGCAGUAAAGUACGGUAUGGCGACCGGGCUGCUAAGACUCGGUUGCAACUGAAUUGGGUCUGUAGCUCAGUUGGUUAGAGCGCACCCCUGAUAAGGGUGAGGUCGGUGGUUCAAAUCCACCCAGACCCACCAAUUCCCUAAUAUGGGGCUAUAGCUCAGCUGGGAGAGCGCCUGCCUUGCACGCAGGAAGUCAGCGGUUCGAUCCCGCUUAGCUCCACCACUUUACUCCAAAGAAGUUAGCGAUAAACGCCAGACGUUUAUCACUGACUUUUUGUGUCAGCUGCUCUUUAAAAAGGUAAUUAUUGAAUACUGAAAAUUUUUUCAAGGCCAAUGUGUAUUUUUUACACAUCUGUCCGGCGAAAUUGUUACAACUACUAUGAAAAUAGAUAGUCGCAUCAAAAUCUUGCUAGCUUGUGCUGUAUGGUCAAGCGAGUAAGCGCAUACGGUGGAUGCCUUGGCAGUUGGAGGCGAUGAAGGACGUAGGAGCCUGCCGAUAAGCUUCGGGGAG